GACAGUGUCUGGUGGGUAGUUUGACUGGGGCGGUCUCCUCCUAAAGAGUAACGGAGGAGCACGAAGGUUGGCUAAUCCUGGUCGGACAUCAGGAGGUUAGUGCAAUGGCAUAAGCCAGCUUGACUGCGAGCGUGACGGCGCGAGCAGGUGCGAAAGCAGGUCAUAGUGAUCCGGUGGUUCUGAAUGGAAGGGCCAUCGCUCAACGGAUAAAAGGUACUCCGGGGAUAACAGGCUGAUACCGCCCAAGAGUUCAUAUCGACGGCGGUGUUUGGCACCUCGAUGUCGGCUCAUCACAUCCUGGGGCUGAAGUAGGUCCCAAGGGUAUGGCUGUUCGCCAUUUAAAGUGGUACGCGAGCUGGGUUUAGAACGUCGUGAGACAGUUCGGUCCCUAUCUGCCGUGGGCGCUGGAGAACUGAGGGGGGCUGCUCCUAGUACGAGAGGACCGGAGUGGACGCAUCACUGGUGUUCGGGUUGUCAUGCCAAUGGCACU
rnacentral:rRNA from 2 species